GAAAGGAAUUCAGGACUGCGAGGAGUGUGUCCACCCACUGAGAAGGAAACUUUUAUUUCUCCAGCAUUUUGUGCCAAGGAAGGAGCCUGUGGGAGCACCAAUGAAGCCUCAUCCAUCAGAAAGGGCAUAAAGGUCUCACAUACCUGCUCAUGAUAACCUCAGAUGCAGGCGUGGAGGAAGUGCCUCUCCCCAACUUUGAGGAAGGUUUCACAGAAGAGAAAUUCAUCACACAUAUCCGGUGAGUCUGACUGUGCUGCACAAUGAGGUUCCAACUCAAGCAGCAGAGCCAAACAUCCUCUCUGCAUCCUGAGUGCUGACACUGGUGGAGAAUAUUUCCCUGAGUUUGUGGUAUUGUAAAACCUCUUGCUGCCCAAUUCCAUUUCUGAUUAUUGAUUACUCAUGUAAAUAACUAGAUUGAACUCUUUAUUUUGUUGUGUUCUGCAUUUUGCUGCAAUCAUUAGAUCUCAGUGCAUCUUCUUGAUAUCUGUUUGCUUUACUUUACACAAAGCUAUGCCCUUUCUGAAAAAUGUGGAAAUCCUGUUUGUCAUUUGUAGAGGACCGCAACCACAUUCGCCAUUGCAAGAUGGCGCUGACAUCCGUUUC